UACGGGGGGGGCUAGCGUUGUUCGGAAUUACUGGGCGUAAAGCGCACGUAGGCGGAUUUGUUAGUCAGUGGUGAAAUCCCGGGGCUCAACCUCGGUACUGCCAUUGAUACUGCAAGUCUCGAGUCCGGAAGAGGUGAGUGGAAUUCCUAGUGUAGAGGUGAAAUUCGUAGAUAUUAGGAAGAACACCAGUGGCGAAGGCGGCUCACUGGUCCGGUACUGACGCUGAGGCGCGAAAGCGUGGGGAGCAAACAGG
rnacentral:rRNA from 1 species